rnacentral:rRNA from 1 species
AUUGAACGCUGGCGGCAUGCCUUACACAUGCAAGUCGAACGGUAACGCGGGGCAACCUGGCGACGAGUGGCGAACGGGUGAGUAACGCAUCGGAACGUGCCCAGUAGUGGGGGAUAGCCCGGCGAAAGCCGGAUUAAUACCGCAUACGACCUACGGGUGAAAGGGGGGGAUCGCAAGACCUCUCGCUAUUGGAGCGGCCGAUGUCAGAUUAGGUAGUUGGUGGGGUAAAGGCCUACCAAGCCGACGAUCUGUAGCUGGUCUGAGAGGACGACCAGCCACACUGGGACUGAGACACGGCCCAGACUCCUACGGGAGGCAGCAGUGGGGAAUUUUGGACAAUGGACGCAAGUCUGAUCCAGCCAUGCCGCGUGCGGGAAGAAGGCCUUCGGGUUGUAAACCGCUUUUGUCAGGGAAGAAAUCUUCUGGGUUAAUACCUCGGGAGGAUGACGGUACCUGAAGAAUAAGCACCGGCUAACUACGUG